AAUCUCCUCGAGCACUCAUUCUCCGUUCGGUUCGCACCCAGCGCCUCCUCCAGUUAGGGUUACCGCCGCCGCCCUCCCCCAUGCUCGUGCCCUCCAUCUCCCGCCCCGAGCUCCAUCUCCUCCACCCGCGGCCUGCGCUCCGUCCUUCCCUCCUUGUUGGCACUCAACCCGGCGAGCGUGAACCGUCGCAAACCGCAGCAGAGGGAGACGUGGAGAGGACAUCAGGCCGAGGUUUCCUGGAACUAAUAGAUGGAGGGGUGUUAGGGCUGAGAUUGGGAUCGGAUGAAUUGCUCUGUCGAUUUUGUUCACUGUUGUGUAGUAGUAUGUACAGCAACAACAUUACUGUAACGGUGCCUUUUUGUUUCAUGAAUAGAUGUAGUUUUCCAUGCAUUUCUCUCUGGUUGAAUAGAUCGAUUAAGUUUCUCCUUUAAUUUUCAUGUGGAAGAACACAGGGUUUCUCCCACAUUUAUCCAUAUAUUACUGCUCGUUUGCAUUGAGCUAAUUGAUUUUAACGGCGUGUAGGCAAUGCAUGGCAAGAACAACCAAAGCUGCUCCAUCUGAGAAACAAGAGUCAGAAUAUGUAGCUACUGUUGCAGAAGGAGUAUGUACUGAAGUAGCAGAUGAAACUUGUUCCUAGCAGAUUUGAAAAUUCUGGGGAUGAGAUAGAUUGCAGCAGUACACCCUAUCACCUGAUGGAGAAAAGGAGCCUAGAGAAGAACGUUUAGCUUAAACUGGAACUGAGGUACUUCACACCUUAUUAGGGAUGUCUUCUACCAAAUGGGCUUUUGACCGAUGAGGACAUAGUAGCACUCUCGGGUGACCAGGUGCGUCUUCGGCUGUAUCCUUGAAAUAUUUCACUACUUAUGUUGGAUGGAGGAUUAAUCUCAUAUUUGCAAGGGAUAUUUACUAACGAACUACCAAAAAUAUAUAGCUCUUUAUUGUCACAAGUUUUUAUAUCAAAGGCACACACGAGCAUGUCUGUUAGUAGCAUUCUGUUCGAAGUCUACGGGAUUUCAUAUGCAGAAGUGAGUAAGAAAGUAAAUAUAAGAUUGUUCUUUUCCUGCGAAAGUUUUCAUUGUGCAGGUUUGCCUACUUAAUUCAAGUAGUACUGGUGGACUAACAUCAUACAUCCAGAAUGCCAAAAGGCUUUUGGUCGAUCCAAGGCAACUUUAAGAUAUGUAGUCUGGCUGAUUAUGAAAUAUACCAAAAAGUGAGUACAACUUAUGUUAAGUUAUAGUCCGGAGUCUUCAUGUUGAUUUAUUUGAAAUUUUGAAAUGAUUAUAAUUGGAAGUGUCACCUCAAUUUCUGAGAGUAGUUGCAUCCUAAUGAUUUACAUCCUCUUGAUGUUUUCUCUGAAAUUUUCACAUCCUAUAGAUGAACUUUUUCUACUGAAUUUUUUACCCUCUUGGUAGUUGAUGUUCUGAAGUUGAAGCAGCUAUGGUCUACAGAUUUAUAAGUACCCCACGUAAUGAAGAAGUAGAUGUUUCAAAGGAUGGAUCGGGUCUUUUUGUAUCUGAACUGAUGCCGACUUGCCGCUACCAAGGAAAAUGUGAUUUCCCGUCUAUUUUGCAGCCUGCAUUAGUAGUUCAAGUUUAUACCCUUGAAUAAUUUUCUUCAUGAGCAAGUGGUGACUCUUGGUUCAUCUACUUUGUAGUUAUCACCUUCAGGUGUCUCUUUAUUUUAGAUUGUGGAGUAAUCACAUGAUCUGUCAAAAUAUUGGUUUGGCAGAAUAGAGUAGUUGCUGAAGAGAUCAAUUGGAUUUUGCUGGUCUGGACUCCUAAUAAUUUUUACCAUUUGCUAAUUGCGGAACUAUAUGUUGACUAGAAAAGUUAAGCUAAUAUGAUGUUUGUCAUUUAAUACACAUCAAUAUCAUACGAGAAAACAAUUAUAUUCAUGUUCCUACAUAUGCUCGUGUCAGGAGUGGACCAGUGCAUUGGCAUUCAGAUAGUGGACCAGUGCAUUGACAUUUAGGUGGGAAUACUUCUGAUGAUCGAGAUAUUCAUCAAGUGGGCAUGCCUCAUAUUCAUAUUUAUCUUUCUCGAUUUGAAUACACGCUGUACAAAUAUGUUUGAAUUAAAUUCACAUAAGGGAGUAUUAAUUUUUUAAGAUAUUUGUAAUAAAUAUGAGCUGGCUAGCUACUAAGAUGUCCUAUUGUCGGAUAUCUGGACUACCAUCACUCGAUGAAAUCUUAUUUGGUUCUGUUUAAUGCAAUGCAGGUGGAGAACAUGUCCUUCUUUUAUGCUGAGCUCAUGUUGGUUCAUUACACAAUGCUUAUCUACUCACCAUCUGUCAUUGCAGCAAUAUCCCAAAGUACCACAUCGGCUUGGCCGAGUUACAAUUGAUGCUAGGGCGGCGAGAUGCAGAGGAGCCCUGGGUACAGAACUACAGGUGAAGGGAGGUGGGUGGCAGGUCUAGCAACUAUGGUCAGGGUGGCUGUGUGAAGAACAGAGAGGUGGGCGAGGAAGUGUUGAACUAACUGAUGCUAUGGAGAUGAAUCAGGGAGAUUAGAGGAGAGAAGUUGAGAGAGAUUUAGGCGAUGUUCAGUAGAAGAGGAUUUUUUCUAGCUAUGUGAGCCCAAGAUGUGCGAUGCUCAACAAGGUAUGUGUCUGUUUUGGAGGUCGCCCGCCUUUUGGAGCAUAUUAGACUUUGAUUUCAAUCGAUGCUGUGCUCUGGCAUCAACCUUGUAAGAUGUCACCUCUCAGUUAAUAUAGAUAUAUUAGCAUGCUAUAUGCUUUGACGACUGAA